rnacentral:rRNA from 1 species
GGAUCCUUCGGGAUUAGUGGCAGACGGGUGAGUAACGCGUGGGAAGCUACCUUGUGGUAGGGAACAACAGUUGGAAACGACUGCUAAUACCCUAUGAGCCCUAUGGGGGAAAGAUUUAUCGCCAUGAGAUGUGCCCGCGUUAGAUUAGCUAGUUGGUAAGGUAAUGGCUUACCAAGGCGACGAUCUAUAGCUGGUCUGAGAGGAUGAUCAGCCACACUGGGACUGAGACACGGCCCAGACUCCUACGGGAGGCAGCAGUGGGGAAUAUUGGACAAUGGGGGCAACCCUGAUCCAGCCAUGCCGCGUGAGUGAUGACGGCCUUAGGGUUGUAAAGCUCUUUCAGCAGUGAAGAUAAUGACAUUAACUGCAGAAGAAGCCCCGGCUAACUUCGUGCCAGCAGCCGCGGUAAUACGAAGGGGGCUAGCGUUGUUCGGAAUCACUGGGCGUAAAGCGUACGUAGGCGGACUGAUCAGUCAGGGGUGAAAUCCCGGGGCUCAACCCCGGAACUGCCUUUGAUACUGUCAGUCUUGAGAUCGAGAGAGGUGAGUGGAACUCCGAGUGUAGAGGUGAAAUUCGUAGAUAUUCGGAAGAACACCAGUGGCGAAGGCGGCUCACUGGCUCGAUACUGACGCUGAGGUAC